rnacentral:sRNA from 1 species
AAACGAUGUCCCGCAGCUGUUGAGGCUGG